GAAACAUACAGCUGAUGAAGGAAUUGUUAUGAUGAAGAUGAAGCAGACCUUCAACUAUCGCCAAAAGAUGAUUCAUGAUCCAGUGAAGUCAUCUGAUAUCUUUUUGGACUUCCCAAGAUUCCUGGAUAUAGGAGGAUUAAUUGAACAAGAUUUUACUUUGAUGUUCGAUGAAGCCACCUCUGUGAAGUUCCUGGAGAAGUGGCCCACUAUCUACAAGCAGAAAGUCCUCAAACAAAGCCGUGGUCUCACGCAAUCAGAUGACCUUCAGUACUUUGUGCAAAAUGCUGAAUGCACAAUAGAAGUGGAAAAUGGUGAGAUAAAAUAAAUGGAAUUUUAUUGUUAUGUUUUAAUUGGAGCAUUUGAAAGUGUAACACCGUCACCUGCUGUCGCAUUUUAUUUUUUUUUUCAAAACUUUAGAAUGUAAGUGUUAACACAGUUGCAGAUAACGUGUUUUGGCAGCUAAUUAUUGUUUCCAAUUUACUUAUGUUUCCAGGAUGGGACAGUGACAUGUCAUCCAUUUUGAUCCUUGUACACCUGUUACCACCAUCACCUCAUGGCCGCAAGAGACCAGGAAAGCUCUCAGCCAGACAAGCCUGUGACCAUCUUGUCAAGUUUGUCAAGACGGGAACUAGCAUCCAGGGGCAUCUCGAUGGCAUCACGGAGAGCCUUCAACCAUACCUUCUUGCAGUGGGCACUCAGAGGAAUGUGAUUCACAAGUACUUCAUUGUGAUAGACAAACAUGCAGUACCUUGUAAGUCACCAGGCUCUCUUGCUUGUUUUGAUGAGCUUUUCAAAGCUCACUUUGUCUUUGGUACGUCAUAUGACCACGAUCUGGUCAAUAUGUACAACUUCCUGCAGACCACCAUUUACGAGAUAGAUGUUGAUACAACCAAAGUGAAUCCUAGGGUUGCAGAGUUGAGGGCUCGGAUGCUGCGUUGAAUUUUUUUUUUUCUACUAAAAGUGUUGAGCUGGAAUGUUUUGUUUCAUUUGCAAGAGGU
ensembl:lncRNA